UAAUACGUAGGUGGCAAGCGUUAUCCGGAAUUAUUGGGCGUAAAGGGUGCGUAGGCGGUUGAUUAAGUUUUAGGUGAAAGCGUGGGGCUCAACUCCAUACAGCCUAAGAAACUGGUCAACUAGAGUGCAGAAGAGGGUAGUGGAAUUCCAUGUGUAGCGGUAAAAUGCGUAGAUAUAUGGAGGAACACCAGUGGCGAAGGCGGCUACCUGGUCUGUAACUGACGCUCAAGCACGAAAGCGUGGGGAGCAAAUAGGAUUAGAUACCCUAGUAGUCCACGCCGUAAACGAUGGAUACUAAGUGUUGGGGAAACUCAGUGCUGCAGUUAACGCAAUAAGUAUCCCGCCUGGGGAGUAUGCACGCAAGUGUGAAACUCAAAGGAAUUGACGGGGGCCCGCACAAGCGGUGGAGUAUGUGGUUUAAUUCGACGCAACGCGAAGAACCUUACCAGGUCUUGACAUACCGGACAAGUCUAUAGAGAUAUAGAGGAGGAUGAAGGAUACAGGUGGUGCAUGGUUGUCGUCAGCUCGUGUCGUGAGAUGUUGGGUUAAGUCCCGCAACGAGCGCAACCCUUGUCUUCAGUUACCAUCAUUAAGUUGGGGACUCUGGAGAGACUGCCGGUGAUAAACCGGAGGAAGGUGGGGAUGACGUCAAAUCAUCAUGCCCUUUAUGACCUGGGCUACACACGUACUACAAUGGCAACUACAGCGUGAAGCCAGCUAGUGAUAGCGAGCAAAUCACACAAAGGUUGUCUCAGUUCGGAUUGAAGUCUGCAAUUCGACUUCAUGAAGUCGGAAUCGCUAGUAAUCGCGGNUCAGCAUGCCGCGGUGAAUACGUUCUCGGGNCUUGUACACACCGCCCGUCAAACCAUGAGAGUUGGUAAUACCCGAAGCNGNUGGCCU
rnacentral:rRNA from 1 species